CGGUGGUCCCACCUGACCCCAUGCCGAACUCAGAAGUGAAACGCCGUAGCGCCGAUGGUAGUGUGGGGUCUCCCCAUGCGAGAGUAGGACACUGCCAGGCA
rnacentral:rRNA from 2 species